UACAGAGGGUGCGAGCGUUAAUCGGAAUUACUGGGCGUAAAGCGCACGUAGGCGGCUUGGUAUGUCGGGUGUGAAAUCCCGGGCUCAACCUGGGAACUGCAUCCGAAACUGCCUUGCUAGAGUAUGGGAGAGGGAAGUGGAAUUUCCGGUGUAGCGGUGAAAUGCGUAGAUAUCGGAAGGAACAUCAGUGGCGAAGGCGACUUCCUGGACCAAUACUGACGCUCAGGUGCGAAAGCGUGGGGAGCAAACAGG
rnacentral:rRNA from 1 species